rnacentral:rRNA from 1 species
GUUAAGUGUUUAGUUCUAUUAAAAUCAUUUUUUAAUAUAGAUAUUUUAGUAAUUUGAAGUAAAAAGAUUUUGUUAAGGCUAUAGUGAAGAGUACUGUGAAGGAAAGGUGAAAUAACAUGAAAUAAUUUAACUGGAAAAAAGUAGAAAUUAAGUUUUGUACCUUGUGUAUCAGGGAAAAUUAAAAUUUUCUUUUUAUAUUAAGAAAUCCCGAAAAAAGAAGAGUUAAUGUAAAAUAGAGUUUUUCGUUUUAAAGAAAUUUUGAAUUUUAUAUUGGUGAUGAGAUGUCAGUCGUUUCUUUAAUAAUCUGGUUAUUAAUGAAUUAAAUUUAAUUUAGUUAUUUUUUGAUAGAGUUGAAGUUAAAAGAUAGUAAAGAAUAGGAGGGAAGAGCUUCUUAUUCUAUAAUAAAUUAAUUGUGAGUCGUCAUUGUAAAUUUAUAUUAAAUUAGGCUUAAAAGCAGUCAAAUUUAUAAAGCGUUCUAGCUAAUAUAAAGGGUUUUUAUUAUUUAAGAUGAGUCCGAUUAUAGUAAUUAAUAAUUUUAUGGAAUAUUAGUGUAAAAGUUAUAAUGAUUUUAUUAGUAGAGAUAAGUGUGUAAAAUAAGUUUAAAAUAGAAUAUAAAGUAUUAGUUUUGAAAUGUAUAAUAAAGGAACUCGGCAAACAUUAUUUUUGCCUGUUUAUCAAAAACAUGUCUGUAUGGUUGUUAUAUAGAGUCUGGCCUGCCCACUGACAUACGUUAAAGGGCCGCGGUAUUUUGACCGUGCGAAGGUAGCAUAAUCAUUAGUCUUUUAAUUGGAGGCUUGUAUGAAUGGUUGGACAAAAAAUAAGCUGUCUCUGUUUUAUUUCUUGAAUUUAACUUUUAAGUGAAAAGGCUUAAAUGUUCUAGGGGGACGAUAAGACCCUAUAAAGCUUUACAGUGUGCUAAUUAAAUUAUAAAUUGUUAGUAUAAACUUGGUUUGGUUAGUAGCUGUUUCGUUGGGGCGACGAAAAUAUAAUUGAUAGUAACUGUUUUUCUUUUAUAAUAACAAUAAAUUUUUGGUAGAAAUUGAUCCUUUAUUAAAGAUUAAAAGAUUAAGUUACUUUAGGGAUAACAGCGUAAUCUUCUUUGAGAGUUCAUAUCGACAAGAAGGGUUGCGACCUCGAUGUUGAAUUAAGGUUUCCUUGUGGUGUAGCAGUUUCAUGGGAGGGUCUGUUCGACCUUUAAAUCCUUACAUGAUUUGAGUUCAGACCGGCGUGAGCCAGGUCGGUUUCUAUCUCCUAGGUGUGAGAGAUUACUUUAGUACGAAAGGAUUGAGUAGUCAAAAUAAUUUUUGAGAAAAGAGUAAUAUUAAUAG